UUUUGUUUUGAAAUGAGUUGUCAUUGGGUUUAAAAGGGGGCAGGGCAUGCUAUGAUAAGAGUUUUUAAAGGUUUGCCCUGGGAGUUCUUGCUGUGGCCCAGUGGGUUAAGGACCUGGCAUUGUUACUGCUGUGGCUUGGGUAGCUGCUGUGAAGCAGGUUUGAUCCCUGGCCUGGGAACUUAUGCAUGCCACGGGUGAAGCCAGAAAAAAAAAAUUAGAAAGAAAAAAGAAAAAAGUUUACCCUGGCUGCUGCCUGCUAUGUAUGCUGUGUGGUGGGGGAGAGGGAAGGGAAUAGUGGGUGAGGGCUCUAUCUGCAAACUAUUGCCAUAGUCUAGAUAAGAGUUGCUGAUAGUUUGGACCAGGGCAAUGGCUGUGGGGAUGGUGAGAGAUGGUCAGAUUUGGGAUGUAUUUUAGGAGCAGAGUUGACAGAAAUUACUCAUGAGUGGAAGGUGAGGUGAAGAGAAAGUAGGGAGGCAGGAUACCUCUCAGGUGUUACGCCCUCUCAUAACCUCUUCACUCACCUUUUUGUUCCAUCAGUUGCUGUGACAACAAGCUGGCGCGGGUGUAGUUUGCUGCACUUUGCAGCUCUUGUCUUCUGCUCCAGGGCACUCAGCUGCCUGGGGGAACCUGGAAAUCCAGUAAGUUCACACCUCAGGAGCAACAUCGGACAGAUGGUGGUUUGGAGCAGAAAAGGAGCAGGAGCUGAAAAAGCGAGGCCAGUCUUACAACUCACUGGACUUCUGGCAAGAAUCCCUCCCCAGAACCAACCCUAAUUGCUGACCUGAGUUAUACACAUUCAAGAGAGAAGUAGAAGGUUUUCAUUACAAGUCAUCUAACUCUGCAGGAGUUUGGCUUUGAAAACCCCCUGAAAAGGACUCAUGUGAAUAAAGCGGGGCCAUUCUCAUUGAAGCACUUGGUAAGUGUCCCUUAUGAUCAAUCAUUAGACACAGUCAUUGCUCAGCUUUAGCCCAUGGCCAAAAUAGAAGCAACUGUUCAUCUGAUUUCUCCACUUCUCCCAUCAGACUUGUUCGAUUGGUGGGUCUGAAUAAUCCUCUUCCUUCUCUGCCUCAUCUUUCUUCGAGGGUUAGGAAUAAAAAAGUGUAUCAAGGUUAAACUAAAUGCUAGAUAAGGUAUGUGACACAACCUUGUAAUCUAGCCUUCCCCCCCCCAUUGAUGGAAUCAGUCCAUGAAGAAGAGCCUUCGCCAUGUAUGCACCAAGGCUGGCCAGGAUGAAAAGUGCUAGGAGGAGUUUCCGCCCUAGCUCAGUGGGUUAAGAAUCUGAC
rnacentral:lncRNA from 1 species